rnacentral:lncRNA from 1 species
CGUGUGCUCGAGCCAGAGCCGGAGAGAAGAACAUCCGGGCAAGAUCGAAGGGUCCCGUGGUUCUCUGCAUUCGAGCCACGAUAAAUAAAAUAUUUUGGACACAAAACGCCUGACGUCUCCCCAGAAACCCAUUUUUCAUUCA